AUCCAGCUGAUGAGUCCCAAAUAAGAUGAAACGCGCGUCCUGGAU
rnacentral:hammerhead_ribozyme from 1 species